CUGAUCUAGACAAGCUCUCUCUCUCUCUCUCUCUCUCUCUCUCUCUCUCUCUCUCUCCAGCCCCCUCCCCAUGCGUCCUCUCUCCCGGGGAGUGGCUGUAGUUGCAGCAGUUGUUUGCUGUAGUUGUAUGCCAGGCCAGAGAGAGAGAGAGAGAGAGAGAGAGAGAGAGAGAGAGGUUCUACCGCCAG
rnacentral:miRNA from 1 species